rnacentral:tRNA from 1 species
GCCUGGCUGGCUAAGUCAGUGAAGCGUAUGAUUCUUGAUCUUGAGGUUGUGAGUUCAAGCCCCAUACUGGGUG